rnacentral:lncRNA from 1 species
GAUAAUACAUAUCAGUAUUACAAUUUUUUUAAAUACAGAAAACAUCGCAGAAAAUGAAACAAUCCAUAAACCACCACCCGGAGACAGCCAUCGUAAACCUUCUCUUACGCUCCGCAACAAGACAGUAAUUAAGAGGCCUCUUCCCAGGGCUCAGGAGGGGGUCUGGACACCGAGGGGACAGUGUGUGAUCAACCAGGCCAGCAAGGAAGGGACUCUACCUCUAUCGCAAACCAGAGCUUCACAGAGCCAGGCAGAGGAGAUAAACACACACGCUCCUCCUUCCUCGGGAAAACAGUUUGUUUUGCUCGUGUGCCUGGAGACCCCAAAGCGAGGGAAGAAUUCUAAAUGAGUUAAAUGUAUAAACACGGUAAGACAUCAACAUACACAUCCUCUGCGAGACAGUAGAAAAUUAGGAUCCAACCAAAGGAAGAAGCCAGGAAAGUCAAUAAACAAGUUGGUAGAGAUGCAAUAUACAGAAAUGAAAUGUUUAGAAGAAAUAACUCAAUACUGAGAGGAGGAAGAAAGAAACCACGCGGAAGUUUCUUCGGUUAAGAAGUUCCCUGAUUACAUCACUAUAGUGUGGGAAGUAAAAAAAGAACAAAAGAAGUUCCCUGAGACAGACUCUGAUCCCUUCUCUACCUUAAUUUCCAAGAUUGUGUGAAAGGAAAAUAAAAACUGGGGACCCCAAUUCAUGAUACCAGAAGAAAAAAAAACAGCUGAAAGCUGAGUCAUGCAGAAACUGCCUUUCCUUCUGCCCCUAAGCAGAUAAAGCUAAGCUACAGAUAAAAGGUUAAAUAUCCCCACAGGUAGCUAGCUAGCUACGCUGUGUUCACCUUAUCGGUAAAGUGCCAAUUUACUGAGCGCCAGACAGAUACGUAAUUGGCUAUCCCCUGCCUGUACCUUUUCUCUUCCAACAUGUGGAUUUCCAUACCCUCCCACUUUCUUCUCCAGACUGCUGUUCUCCUUUAAAUUUGUUUUUCUUUUUCUUUUUUCUUUUUUGAGACAGGCUCUUGCUCUGUCACCCAGGCUGGAGUGCAGUGGUAUGAUUUUGGCUCACUGCAACCUCUGCCUCCGGGGUUCAAGUGAUUUUCCUGCCUCAGCCUCCGGAGUAGCUGGGAUACAGGCAUGUGCCACCAUGCCCAGCUAAUUUUUGUAUUUUCAGUAGAGAUGAGGCCUCACCAUGUUGGCCAGGCUGGUCUCGAACUCCUGACCUCAAGUGAUCCAUCUGCCUCAACCUCCCAAAGUGCUGGGAUUACAGGCGAAAGCCACCAUGCCCAGGUUCCCCUUUAAAUAUUGAAUCCCUCUCUCAAAAUCAUCCUUGGAGAAAGGCACAGACCACAGACCAUUUCUUUGAUUCCAUGCUUUGUGCUUCUGAGCAUGUCCUUAACCUUGGUAAAAUAAACUUCUAAAUUGAUUGAGAC